rnacentral:rRNA from 1 species
AACGAACGCUGGCGGCAGGCUUAACACAUGCAAGUCGAACGCUCCGCAAGGAGAGUGGCAGACGGGUGAGUAACGCGUGGGAAUCUACCGUACCCUACGGAAUAACGCAUGGAAACGUGUGCUAAUACCGUAUACGCCCUACGGGGGAAAGAUUUAUCGGGGUAUGAUGAGCCCGCGUUGGAUUAGCUAGUUGGUGGGGU